rnacentral:rRNA from 1 species
AGUGAACGCUGGCGGUAGGCCUAACACAUGCAAGUCGAACGGCAGCACAGUAAGAGCUUGCUCUUACGGGUGGCGAGUGGCGGACGGGUGAGGAAUACAUUGGAAUCUACUUUUUCGUGGGGGAUAACGUAGGGAAACUUACGCUAAUACCGCAUACGACCUACGGGUGAAAGCAGGGGAUCUUCGGACCUUGCGCGAUUGAAUGAGCCGAUGUCGGAUUAGCUAGUUGGCGGGGUAAAGGCCUACCAAGGCAACGAUGCAUAGCUGGUCUGAGAGGGUGAUCGGCCACACUGGAACUGAGACACGGUCCAGACUCCUACGGGAGGCAGCAGUAGGGAAUCUUCCGCAAUGGGCGAAAGCCUGACGGAGCAACGCCGCGUGAGUGAUGAAGGUCUUCGGAUCGUAAAACUCUGUUAUUAGGGAAGAACAUAUGUGUAAGUAACUGUGCACAUCUUGACGGUACCUAAUCAGAAAGCCACGGCUAACUACGUG